rnacentral:rRNA from 1 species
UACGGGGGGGGCAAGCGUUGUUCGGAAUUACUGGGCGUAAAGCGCGUGUAGGCGGCCCUGCAAGUCGGAUGUGAAAUCCCACGGCUCAACCGUGGAAGUGCAUUCGAAACUGCAGGGCUAGAGUCCUGGAGAGGAAGAUGGAAUGCUUGGUGUAGAGGUGAAAUUCGUAGAUAUCAAGCGGAACACCGGUGGCGAAGGCGGCCUUCUGGACAGUGACUGACGCUGAGACGCGAAAGCGUGGGGAGCAAACAGG